UGGUGUAGGUUGCAGAUGUGGCUUGGAUCUAGUGUUGCUGUGACUGUGGCAUAGACCAGCAGCUGCAGUGCCAGUUCAGCCCCUAGCCUGGGAACUUCUAUAUGCUGUAGAUUAGGUCCUAGAAAAGAAAAAGAGAAUGUAGAGGAAAUCUGGCGAAUAGAGCAAUUCCAAGGGGUGAUGGCUUUGACUGCGUAGCUCUGCCCGUGAACAGCAGUCACAGGGUGCAGAUCAGAAUCCCGGACUGAAGGUCAGGACCUGUGUGAAGCCAGAGUUUGAAGGAUCAUCAGCACGACGUGACGGAGUGGUUAUGGUUCAGGACAUCCUCUGAUAUCCAUAUGCUUUGCACUUUGGUGGGUUAGCUCUAAAUCAGAUUCUUGCCUGACAUCCUCUUAAAAUACAGCGUACCUUAUUUUUCAGCCAGACUCUUGAAAUGUGCUGCAAAAGUAUUGAUUUACUGGCCUGCUCGUUAGUAACCACGGCUGGAAAUGGCAAAAGAUGUCACUAUGAAAUGGGAUGCAUGAGGAAAACGGAGAUAAAGGAGUGGAAAAUGGUCCUCCGCCCUCAGUUCUGUAUUCAGUUGUUUAGACGUUGGAGACAGCUAUCCCUGAAACCCAGCGUUUUUAAUUAAGCAACCAGAAAGUGCAUGUUACAUUUCCAGAGAGGAGUUAGGCUUCUCUUAAUAUCGCCAACUUUAUUUUUGUGAGCUCUUUCAGGGCCGUAAUGAGCAUCCUGUUUCCUUACGCAUUUAAGUGUAGGUUCUUGUGAACUGACAGGAUAGAAGCUCUUAAGAACUGAGUAGGCCGAUAGAGCAGCUGGUGUGACACUCCAGUGUUCGUAUUGCCUUCUAGCUCCUGAACAGAAGGAAGAAAACAGUUUUAAUUUAGAAAUCUCUUUCUUGACUAUAGCUGAAAUUCUCAGAGCCAGUGAGACUAGAAAAUGAUAGAACAUUCAUUUCUCCUAGUUAACUGAAGGUAGAAUAUGUUCUUAGGUUUGUUGGUAAGAUGCCCUGGGUUAUAUAAAAUUGCUUAUUUCUGAGCUUUUCACAGGCCUUUCUUUUACCAGAAAACAAUUACUGUUAGGAUGAAAGUUCUAAAAACACCUAAAUAGAACAAUGGAGAAAACAAAGAAUACUUUGUUUGGAGGGAGAGCAGGAGAAGGUAGAUUCUGAAUGUGUUAAAAUGUAAUGUGUUUGGAUGUUUAAAAUCAUUUUACGUCUGUUCAAAAUGAAGAUGGCUUCCCGCUUCUUGGAAUGAAGUGUUUGCAGUAUUUGUACAGUAUGUUAAUAUCCGUGAUUAAGAAUAGCAUAAUAGGAGUUUCUGUCGUGGCGCAGUGGAAACAAUCCGACUAGGAGCCAUGAGGUUGCCAGUUCGAUCCCUGGCCUCUCUCAGUGGGUUAAAGAUUCGGCGUUGCCGUGAGCUGUGGCGUAGGUUGCAGACACGGCUCAGAUCCUGUGUGGCUGUGGCGUAGGCCAGCGGCUACAGCUCCGAUUAGACCUCUGGCCUGAGAACCUCCAUAUACCACAGGUGCGGCCCUAAAAAGACAAAAAAUAAAAGCAUAGCAUAAUAGAGAACCAUGAGUGGUUUACCUCUAUUGUUGUCAGGAAAUUCUGGAUUAAGGCGUAAUCCAGCAGUUUGUUCCUUAGUCACAUUUUUGGGCGUACUUAUUAUCUACAGUGUUGUUUCUCCAGACUAGCAGCAUUCGGUGUCACCAUCGCUUGAGAGGUUCCCAGAAGGUGUAAAUUCUUGUCCCCUACCCCAGAUCUACUGCGUUGAAUCCUGGGGUGUGAGGGGGAGAUCAGAGAUUGCCAGCCGUCUGUGUUUUAAGGAACCCUGUAGGUGAUUCAGAUGCAUGCAUGCUGAAGUUGGAGAACCACUGGUUUGUAGUUAGGACAACCUUUCCAAAAAAAUGCUGGCAUGAGCAAUGUUGAGGACAAGAUGAUUCCAACUGGCUUGACCGUAAAACAGGAAUGUCUGUAGUGAAUCAACGUAGCUGUGUUUGGGAUCAGUUACGUUAACAUGUUAUCAUGCGCUCCACUUAAUUAAGUACUUUGUUGGCAUGAGCAAGUCAUCUGCGCUGGAAAUGACAGCUAUCAAAAGAGUAAUUGUCUUAAAGCCCCGGGGAGGGGGAUGAAUCACCAGUUUACAGAACCUGUUCUGCUUUGGGCUGACAUAUUUUUUUUAUCAACUAAAGGCUAUGGGGAACAGGAGCUGUGUUUGGGGCUAAGGUAAGGAAACCGGGUGGUUUUAUUCACACUUAGACUGAGCCGGCCUGCUGUCGUGUCGUUUCAACAUUUUAAUUGAAUAGUGAAAUUCUGAAAUAGAGAAAUAGGAAAAAACGAACCUUGUAAAUGCACAAACAGGCAAAUUGUAAAUUUUUACUAUUAUCUAUAAACUGAUCUUAUGGUCUCUAACCAGAAACAGAUGGACACAGUGACGGUCGGGAUGCCAGUGCCGCUCGGUCCUUCCCCACUGAUUCCUUUGAAUAAUUACUCAAGAAGAGGGACAAGCGGUGAAAAAGGAAAACGCAGCACUGUGGUGGGAAGCAGAGUCAAGCAUCAGGGAGAUGAAGGCAGCAGAACGUUUCCAGAGGGAGGCCGUGGUGAACAGUAGGAAAGGUUGCCAGUAGGUCAGAUAAGAGGGACGCAAUGUGUCCAUUAGGUGUAGGGACAAGAGAGGUGAGUGGUCACCUUGAAGAGGAAUUUCAGUGCAGCAGAAAGCAGCAGCUGGGUGGACGUGGGGUGGUCCCUGAGCUGGAGAUAAAACGGAAGUGGCGCGUUGAAGAGGAGGAUAGCUAGAUGCGGACGGAGGGUCUUCUUGCCCGACAGCCUUCUCUGGGUAAGACUUGUUGUUUAGAUCUGGUUACUAACCUGAUCACUAUAUUGAUUUGGCAUAAUUUUCACUUAGCAUGAGUCAUCCUAACGUUAUUUCUCAGAUGAAUGUAUCAUUUCUUGCUGCCUUUAUGAAGUAUUGAAACUUGGCGUUACUACUUUUCAUAGCCUCGAGGAUCAAGGACCCGGUUAAAAACCACCACCAUGUCGCUGUCCCCAUAGAACUCAUUUGGAAUUAUCAUUUAAAUUCCAUUGUCUUAAAGCACUGAAAGGCAGGUUUGUAUAUUUGCAUGCCAAGGUGGUUAAAAAACUCCUUGAAUGUCUCUCAAGCUCAACACCUGGCAUAUUAUUUUAAACAUAGGGUUAGGAGGUUCGGUUCUGCUUUGCUGUUUGAAUUGGCAUUGGUUACUAAUAGAAAACCUGUUUUCACAUUGAUUUUUAGGGAAGAUUCAAACAGGAGUGUUUUCAUUGAAUAAACAUUGAGCACCUACCGUAUUCCUGGCAGUGCUAGGGGUUAAAAAUAAAAAUGGCACAAAUCCUGCCUUGAGUUCACCGUUCAUUGGGGAACACAGAAGUAAACAAACCGCGGCGAUGUUAAAAGCUGCACCGGAAGAACACAUUAGGAGGUCCUGCUGUGGCUCAGUGGGUGCAAAACCCGACUGGUAUCCGUGAGGAGGCGGGUUCUAUUCCUGGCCUCGCUCGGUGGGUUAAGGAUUUGGUGUUGCUGCAAGCUGCGGUGUGGGUCACCGAUGUGGCUUGGAUUUGGCGUGGCUGUGGCUGUGGUGUAGGCUGGCAGCAGCGGCAGCUCGGAUUUGGCCCCUAGCCUGGGAACUUCCAUAUGCCACAGGGGAAAAAAAAGAAAGAAAAAAACGAACUGGUGCCCACUCUGUUCCAUUCUGCUCGCUUCCCGCUCCGAGAGAUUUGCUAAAGUGGUCAUUCUGAAGUUAUCCUUGGCAGCAGCUGUAAGGUGCCCUUUAAAGUAUUGUGCUUGGUCCCUGCCUCUGAAAGUCUGGUGAAGACGCAACUGAGGGCAGUGAGACGAAUUUUUGCCAACACAGACACAGUGGUGGUAUUUUGAGACUCGGAAGUCAGGCAUAAUAGACCCUGCUUCUUUUCUGUUUGUCAGUUCUGUGAAACACAUCCUGUUUGGUGGAUUUAAUCUUGUGUAUCAUUCUUUACUCACCUGAUAGAAAUUGGCUUUUCGCUUGUUCAAACAAGCUUUAUCGUGUUUCGACUCUUUAUGCAAGCGUUAUGUUUUCUUUAAGCCACUUAAAGCGUGAUUCAUGUGAUUUCAGAGUAACAUUCAAAUUGAGUAACCCCUUGGUUCUUCAGAGGGUUUCACUGGAAUAAUUUGAAUGUAUCAAAAUUUUGUAAAAGAAACUUCCCACCCCUCCGGUGUCUCCUCCUGGAAAUGUCUGAGAGACCAUUUGCUCUUUCCUCCAUUACAGGAAAUAUUACAUGCUGAUAUUUCUAUGUUGAACAAUUUACAGUACAUUUUUAUCACUUCUUAUUAAAGUUGUUUGAACUGUUGAAAGACUCAAUUUUAGGGUGUGAGUCAAGUAUAAGGUCAUUUUUUUUCUGCAGGAAGUGACUCUGUAAGGAAGUCAAAGAGCAUAGGACCUCUUGCUUAAGAUAAGGAGAUGAAAGAUAAAUAAGACACAGGAGGUUUUUGCCUUGAAAUAAAUGCUUGGUAUAAAUAUAUAGCAGGCCUAAAUGUAGACCUAGAUAUACCGUCCAGCCCCCAUGGGGAACUUUUCGGUGGCGACUGAGAGUGACUGGUAGUGGCUGGCGGAGUAGGGUGGGGCUGGAAGCCUUGUUGUCUGAGAGGGUGCCACUGUGGGUGACAUGCCUGCAGCAGCCACAGGGAGAAGCAGCUGUGAAGAUGUUAUCCCUCUUCUCAUAGCUACCUGUCUGAAAAGAAAUUUGAAUUAAUUUUUGUG
rnacentral:lncRNA from 1 species